rnacentral:snRNA from 1 species
GUACUCGCUUCGACAGCAUAUAUACUAAAAUUGGAGUGAUACAGAGAAGAUUACCAUGGCUCCUGCACAAGGAUGACAUGCAAAUUUGUAAAGCGUUCCAUAUUUUU